CUAAGCUAAAAGGAUUCUGUAGUGUUUGCUCAAACCAUGGCCUCCAAUUAGAAUUUGAUGGAUACUAUGCAGUCUCUCGCCUUAGCUACUGCGAUAAAGGCACCUAUCUUGCUCAUAUCCGAACCCUGCCAAAUCUCUUUAUGAAAAUUUGAGAAGCUCAGUCCAUGGAUCUGGAACUCACCAAGAAUCUAGGUAAGUUCACUUAUGAUGAAU
rnacentral:lncRNA from 1 species